GGGAGUUCAUUACUUUAGAAACUUAGGGUCCUGCAAAAGCAAUUGUUUUAGACUUUAUUUUGAGCAGGGGCAAGAAACUGAAAAACUUGUUCCUGUAAAACAACUUUUUUCUUUACAAACAGAUAGGAAGAAGGAAGAAUAGAUGGAAGAAAGGAUGGAUUCGUUAGUGGGGUGUUUGGACUCGAGACACCGCAUUUAGAAGGGAAAGAGGCUGCUCAGUGACUUUUGGAGACUUUGGCCAAGAUUUUGCUGAGGAGUGGAGAUGGGAGGGGAACUCACCGAUCCCUGUGAGGCACUUGGAAAAUAUAAGCAGAUACUUAAGCCACA
rnacentral:lncRNA from 1 species